UACGUAGGCAGCAAGCGUUGUUCGGAGUUACUGGGCGUAAAGGGUGUGUAGGCGGUUGGAUAAGUGUGGUGUGAAAUCUCCCGGCUCAACUGGGAGGGUGCGCUACAAACUGUCUGACUAGAGUGUGGGAUGGGAAAGUGGAAUUCCUGGUGUAGCGGUGAAAUGCGUAGAUAUCAGGAGGAACACCGGUGGUGUAGACGGCUUUCUGGACCAUAACUGACGCUGAGGCGCGAAAGCUAGGGGAGCAAACGGG
rnacentral:rRNA from 1 species